rnacentral:rRNA from 1 species
GAUGAACGCUGGCGGCGUGCUUAACACAUGCAAGUCGAACGGAAAGGCUCCUGCUUGCAGGGGUACUCGUUUGGCGAACGGGUGAGUAACACGUGGGUGAUCUGCCCUGCACUUCGGGAUAAGCCUGGGGAACUGGGUCUAAUACCGGAUAGGACGAUGUGUUGGAUGCCAUUGUGUAAAGAUUUUCGGUGUUGGAUGAGCUCGCGGCCUAUCAGCUUGUUGGUGGGGUAAUGGCCUACCAAGGCGUCGACGGGUAGCCGGCCUGAGAGGGUGUACGGCCACAUUGGGACUGAGAUACGGACCAGACUCCUACGGGAGGCAGCAGUGGGGAAUAUUGCACAAUGGGCGCAAGCCUGAUGCAGCGACGCCGCGUGGGGGAUGACGGCCUUCGGGUUGUAAACUCCUUUCGCUAGGGACGAAGCGCAAGUGACGGUACCUGGAGAAGAAGCACCGGCUAACUACGUG